CAACUACUCCCUCUGUCCCAAAUUUCUUGUCUUAGAUUUGUCUAGAUAGGGAUGUAUCUAAUAUGGAUGUAUCUAAUACUAAAAUGUGACUUGAUACAUCCGUAUCUAGACAAAUCUAAGACAAGAGUUUUGGGACGGAGGGAGUACUUU
rfam:Triticum aestivum genome assembly, contig: Triticum_aestivum_CS42_TGACv1_scaffold_404663_5BL